rnacentral:lncRNA from 10 species
GUGAUAUGUUUAUUUGAGCAUAUUAAAAAAAGGAAAAUUUGACGAUCAAACUUGGCAAUUUAAUGGAUAUUAUUGCUUAGGGCAAGACUGAGUUUUAUAAAAAGUGAGUUUAUUAAUGAAAAAUUUAAGUAAAUAAUAAUCUAAGUGGUACUUGGCUUUAGCAGAAACUCAGAUGGGAAUUGCAACUUCAGCUAACACCUUGAUUUCAGCCUGGGAAGCCCCAGAGCAGAGGAUCCAAUUAACCCUUUUUUCCUGGACCCAAGACCUGUGGAAACUAUAAGAUAUUAAAUAUGUGUUGUUCUAAGUUGUUGAGUUUGUGGUAAUUUGUUAUGUAGAAAUAGAAAACUGAUAUAUAUAUAGUUAAAGGUUAAGACUUGAGGAAUGUCACUCACCUGGCAAAUUUCUUAAACCAUUUCCUCAUUUGUAACAUGGUAAUACCCAUUUGUCAGUUUGCUGGAGGAACAAGUGAGGAAAUAAAUGUAAAUUCUUACCUAAAGUGAGGGAAAUAUUGGGCUUAGUAACUGUUGGUUAGAACACAAGGGUUAUAGGAUCAUUCCCACCACUUUUCCCCAGUUUCACGAUCCCAGGGAUGGGCAAACCUUGACAAAUUUCAAUUAAGAUUUACAGUAUACAACUUGGCAGAACUUCUUUAUCUUUUAAAGAUGGGAUCUCGCUAUAUUGCACAGGCCAGAGCUCAGUGGCUAUUCACAGGGACCAUCACAGCACAGCCUUAAACCCCGGGCUCAAGCAAUCCUCCUGCUUCAGUCUCCUGAAGAUCUGCAAUUACAGACAUCCACCACCACACCUGGCUGGCAGAACUUUUAUUUAAUAGCCUAGUUUCUUGACUUGGUUCUUUCUAACCAUUUCAAAAGGGUCUGAGCUUGGACACAAGCCUGAUGAGACAUUGGAGCAUGGAAAAUUCUGGCCAACACACCAUCUUUAUUAGGGAAAACUGAGAGGCCAAUGCUUUUGGGUGUGAGGUCAGAUGGAAGGACAACCAGGUGACAAGGCCUCCACUGAGAUUCCUGAUACAACAUCCUGCUCAUGUCUGGGGGAGAAAAAGUGCUCUGCCCAGAAUUUUGAUGGAAUAAGGAUUUCAGAUAAAAAGGCUUUCAAAAGGCCUUGGAAAUGAUUUCUUAGAGCAAAAACAAAUGGGUGCCCAGUGAGUAUCUUAAUCCAACUUGAGUUUUGCUAAUUAGGAAGAUUUGAUCAUUAUUCUAAAAUAACUUCACUGUAGAUAAGAAAUCACCUGGGUCACUUAUUCUAAAAACUUCCCAGAUCCCCAUUUCCCAUGCCCAGAGAGUUGGAUUCGGGAGUCUUAGGUAGAUGCCAGCUGUCUGCACUUUUAUCAAGCACCGCCGGUGAUUGUGGUGUUUGUGGGUGAUGAGGGCUGCAGGUGCACUGGUAAAUGUCUAACAACCAGCUUUCUGGGGAAGUAAACCCUGAUCCGUAGCGUCUGCAGUUUUCCGAGGCAGAAACGCUCCCACCAAGGCUGAUGUCACUGACUGGGCGCAGAGUUGGGAAGAAAGACGAAGUAGCCCUUCCAGCACACAGCCCUGAAGACAUUCAGAAAUCCUGAGUAAGAAGCUGAUGGACUGGGACUCAGUUGGAGUUCUUCCAAAUUGAGAUGCCAGAGGGAGCAGUGGCUGGGGUCACUGGGCACUGGCUGGCAUGAAAAGCCCAUAAUUAACUUGUUUUGUUUCAUACCUCAUGGGGAGGAAAUGCUGUCUAUUUUAAUUUCAUGAGCCCGCAACAUUGUAAGAUUUCAAAAAGGAAAAGAAAUCUUUUAUUUUGGGGCCUCAAAGGUCUAGGUCACUAACUUAAUGGGGUAUUAUGAGAUUCUAUUAUAGCAAAUGACUAAGUCAACUAUUGUCACAAUGCUACUGCAUAAUAAACCCUUCCAAAAUUUGGUGACUUAUAGGAAUGAAUAUUUAUUCUUGCUCAGGUGUCUGUGGGUUGCCUGACCAAGGCUAUGUUCUUUUGGCCUUGGCUCCAAGCUGCUUUCUUUUUGAACCAGCAGCUACUUGGAAGUUUAUAUGUCACAGCAAUGGCAAAAAUCCAG